CCCCCCCCCGGUCCCCGGAAGGAGUGGUCAGUGGCUGGCCUUUCGUAGGUGACUUAGGGCGCGAGACACCUCCUGGAAGCGGAGGUUGGUGGACUGAGGAAGGAAAAAAUGGAAGUAGGGGCCAGGCUCUGAGGCGAGGUGAUGGGGGACACAGAGAUAAAGAGGCAAUCUGAUAAGGGGAAGAAAUUGUGGCUUGAGAGUGGGAGAGGUCGAAACGACUUGCGGACCACACAAGGAUAGGUACUGUGGGGUGGGUGUAGGGGGAAACUCUGAGGACCGGGAAGGUGCACUGGGGUCAGGAGACUCCGAGGUGAGAAGGGAGUCUGCUAAAUGGGAAGAAGAAUGAAAUUUGGAAUUGAGUUAUUUCAGACCAGAAUGGUCUUCCCUUAUGAGCUGGGAGCUGACUCCCUGGUUUUGCCUGGUGUUAGAGCAUACCCCUGCCUUUCCUAGGGGUUUCCCUUAUCCUAGGGCGCCAGAGUUUAUACUAGCCAAUGGUCUGGCAGAUGGAAGGGCUGUCCAGGUCCUUUCCAUUUUGACUUUUUCUCCUGUUUCACAUUUUGCCCUUCCUUAAGUAGUUCUUGGGUGAAUGCCAGCAAUAGCCAAGGAUACAGGGGAACAGGCAGAAUAACUCUAGGCUGUGGAGAUAGGGCUGAGAAAUAGGAAACCCCAUCAGUGCUUGGUCCAGCUUUGAUGUGGCUGGGACAGCCUGUCGUAGGGAUGAUGCUGUAGUCCAGGUGUCCACCAGCAUUUGAAGUGGGAGCUCCAAGAGUCAUCUAAACAGGCACCUAGGACUCUGUCAGGUACUGUAGGCUUCAAAGACAAGAGAUUGAGUCACACACCUGUGACUCCAGCACAUGGGAGGCUGAGGGGGAAGAUCAUGAGAAGACCAGCCAGGCUGCAUAGUGAGAUCCUGUCAAAACAAAACAACAACAAAAAGCCAUGAGUGGAGCAGAUGUGCAUUCAGGAUCCCUAGAAGCAGGUGUUCAGCCCUCCUGUCUGCACCCUGGGUUCCUGUCAGCCCAGCACGGUUCGCCUUUUCACAGUGUUCUGUCUUCACAGUCUUCCUGCAGUUCCUUGAGGAUCCCCUUUCCUAGAAAACCCAACUGUAGGACUGUGGACACAGGUCAGUGGGUCAGAAAUACUUGGCCUAAGACCUGAAGAGAGCCCAUUUGUUGGGGAGAAGCCACUUCCUGCCCGCCCACCCCAACAGAUCAAGUCAGGCAAUGAUUUGUCUCAGCUUCAAAAGCAAGCCAAAGGGGACAGUGAUGUAUCCCCAGAUCUCAGAUGGAGUUCUAUGAGCUUGCCAUAAAAAGGAAAAAGAAGCCAUGGGAGAGGGUGGACAACACAAACACUUGGCUCCAAAGGAUUACUGACAGAACUCGAAACCUCCUCCACCCAGAAGGCCUAAGAGAAAGCAGCUCAUGAAAAAGAUCUAUUGGUUACAGAGAAAGCAUCUUAUAAGACAGAGACGUUCGCCUACAUUUCAGAAAUAUAAAAACCCGGGUCUACGAAGGAAGAAAUAAAGAGCUUUUGUUCCCCUGCUAUAGGAGUUACCUGUUCCAAGGCCCAGACUCAUCAGCCUAGGGAGUGCCCUCGAGUCCUGACAGCGUCUCCAACUGCGAUGCUACGUCGGUAAGCAGGCUGGAGCCUACGCCAACAGGGCCCGUCUGAUUGGCACCGUGUGAAUCUCAAGAAUUCCCCGGCCCCUCUGCAAUCCCGAGGGCUCCCAGUCACAGGGCAAGCCCGAGGGGUGCCCACCGCCUCCGCGGAACAGACCCAGGGACCGUCUGCGGACCCUGCGCGGCCCGGCGGAGGGGGUCCAGAAUCGCCCCGGUGCCCGCUCCGCGUGCCAGCCCCCGGAAGCGCCGCCCUCCCGCCCAGCGGGCUCCGAGGGGGCGGGGAGUCUAACGCCCCCUUCCGGGUGCCUCCGCCUGGCUGGCCAGCCGCGCUCCUCCUCCGGGCGGGAAUCCUUCCUCCCCCGCCCCUCCCGUAGCCGGGCCCCGGCGCCAGGCCCAACCCCAGGGGGGAACCCCCUGCCCCAGCUUCCCCUCCCCGCGGACUCCGCCUGUCUUUCCGACCCUUGAGGGUCGGGAAGACCCCGCCGGCAGAGGCCAGG